UCGAACGAUGAACCACUUCGGUGGGGAUUAGUGGCGAACGGGUGAGUAACACGUGGGCAAUCUGCCCUGCACUCUGGGACAAGCCCUGGAAACGGGGUCUAAUACCGGAUACGAGUCACCAGGGCAUCCUGGUGUCUGGAAAGCUCCGGCGGUGCAGGAUGAGCCCGCGGCCUAUCAGCUUGUUGGUGAGGUAACGGCUCACCAAGGCGACGACGGGUAGCCGGCCUGAGAGGGCGACCGGCCACACUGGGACUGAGACACGGCCCAGACUCCUACGGGAGGCAGCAGUGGGGAAUAUUGCACAAUGGGCGCAAGCCUGAUGCAGCGACGCCGCGUGAGGGAUGACGGCCUUCGGGUUGUAAACCUCUUUCAGCAGGGAAGAAGCGAGAGUGACGGUACCUGCAGAAGAAGCGCCGGCUAACUACGUGCCAGCAGCCGCGGUAAUACGUAGGGCGCAAGCGUUGUCCGGAAUUAUUGGGCGUAAAGAGCUCGUAGGCGGCUUGUCGCGUCGGUUGUGAAAGCCCGGGGCUUAACCCCGGGUCUGCAGUCGAUACGGGCAGGCUAGAGUUCGGUAGGGGAGAUCGGAAUUCCUGGUGUAGCGGUGAAAUGCGCAGAUAUCAGGAGGAACACCGGUGGCGAAGGCGGAUCUCUGGGCCGAUACUGACGCUGAGGAGCGAAAGCGUGGGGAGCGAACAGGAUU
rnacentral:rRNA from 1 species